rnacentral:rRNA from 1 species
ACGGAAGGCAGCAGUGGGGAAUAUUGCACAAUGGGGGAAACCCUGAUGCAGCGACGCCGCGUGAGUGAAGAAGUAUUUCGGUAUGUAAAGCUCUAUCAGCAGGAAAGAAAAUGACGGUACCUGACUAAGAAGCCCCGGCUAACUACGUGCCAGCAGCCGCGGUAAUACGUAGGGGGCAAGCGUUAUCCGGAUUUACUGGGUGUAAAGGGAGCGUAGACGGCUUUGCAAGUCUGAAGUGAAAGCCCGGGGCUCAACCCCGGAACUGCUUUGGAAACUGUAGAGCUAGAGUGCAGGAGAGGUAAGUGGAAUUCCUAGUGUAGCGGUGAAAUGCGUAGAUAUUAGGAGGAACACCAGUGGCGAAGGCGGCUUACUGGACUGUAACUGACGUUGAGGCUCGAAGGCGUGGGGAGCAACCAGGAUUAGAUACCCUGGUA